GGGUGUUUAGCUCAGCUGGGAGAGCAUCUGCCUUACAAGCAGAGGGUCGGCGGUUCGAGCCCGUCAACACCCA
rnacentral:tRNA from 1 species